AGUAGGAGAGGGUGAGGGGGGGUCAGGUGGGGGCCUCCAUCAAAGGGCAAAGUUGAGAGAGAUGUCCCGACUGUGCAACACCCAGCCCAGCCCCCACCCUCCGACCACUCCCACCAACAGCUGUGUGUCAUAAACAAGCACACGAUCUGUUCUGAACCUCUCCACUCCUCUCUCUCCAAGAUCAGAGCAAAGGGUGCAGAUCCAAAAACAGGAGAUCCUCUCAAACUCUGUCAGCUUGGAAGGGGAGAGUCGCUGCACAGCUAUUUUCAGGUCUCUCCAGAGAUGUUAGAUCGGGUUCAUGUCCGGGCUCCGGCUGGGCCACUCAAGGCCAUUCAGAAUCUUGCCCCGAAGCCACUCCUGCGUUGUCUUGGCUGUGUGCUUAGGGUCGUUGUCCUGUUGGAAGGUGAACCUUCGCCCCAGUCUGAGGUCCUAAGCGCUCUGGAGCAGGUUUUCAUCAAGGACAACGUAAAAAUAUGUAAAAAUGGAAGAGGUCUGAAUACUUUCCGAAUGCACUGUAUAGUAUACAUUUGUUAUAUCUGUGUCCAUAUUGUCCAUUAGUUUCUAGAGAUAGUUUAAGAGAAAAUAGCCAAAUUAAUGAAAAAAGCAUCUAAUGUCACACCCUGAUCUGUUUCACGUGUCCUUGUGCUUGUCUCCACCCCCCUCCAGGUAUCGCCCAUCUUCGCCGUUAUCCCCUGUGUAUUUAUACCUGUGUUUUCUGUCUGUCUGUGCCAGUUCAUCUUGUUUCCCAAGUCAACCAGCGUUUUUUCUCUUAGCUCCUGGUUUUUCCAAGUCUCUGUUUUUCUCUUCCUCCUGGUUCUGACCCUUGCCUGUCCUGACUCUGAGCCCGCCUGCCUGACCCUUGCCUGUCCUGACUCUGAGCCCGCCUGCCUGACCCUUGCCUGUCCUGACUCUGAGCCCGCCUGCCUGACCUCUCUGACUGCCCUUGACCCCGAGCCUGCCUGCUGCCCUGUACCGUUUUGGACUCUGACCUGGUUAUGAACUGAACUGUCCCCGACUUGCCUUUUUCCUACUCCUUGGAUUAUAAUAAAUAUCAGAGCUCAAAC